rnacentral:rRNA from 1 species
GACGAACGCUGGCGGCGUGCUUAACACAUGCAAGUCGAACGGAAAGGCCCUGCUUUUGUGGGGUGCUCGAGUGGCGAACGGGUGAGUAACACGUGAGUAACCUGCCCUUGACUUUGGGAUAACUUCAGGAAACUGGGGCUAAUACCGGAUAGGAGCUCCUGCUGCAUGGUGGGGGUUGGAAAGUUUCGGCGGUUGGGGAUGGACUCGCGGCUUAUCAGCUUGUUGGUGGGGUAGUGGCUUACCAAGGCUUUGACGGGUAGCCCGCCUGAGAGGGUUACCGGCGACAUUGGGACUGCGAUACGCAGCAGACUGCUACGGGAGGCAGCAGUGGGGAGUAUUGCAGAAUGGGCGGGAGCGUGAUGCAACAACGCUGCGUGCGGGAUGACGGCCUUCGGGUUGUAAACCGCUUUGGACUGAGCCGAAGCGUGAGUGACGGUAAUGGGUAAAGAAGCACCGGCUAACUACGUG